GACGAACGCUGGCGGCGUGCCUAAUACAUGCAAGUUGAGCGAUGAAGAUUGGUGCUUGCACCAAUUUGAAGAGCAGCGAACGGGUGAGUAACGCGUGGGGAAUCUGCCUUUGAGCGGGGGACAACAUUUGGAAACGAAUGCUAAUACCGCGUAACAACUUUAAACAUAAGUUUUAAGUUUGAAAGAUGCAAUUGCAUCACUCAAAGAUGAUCCCGCGUUGUAUUAGCUAGUUGGUGCGGUAAAGGCUCACCAAGGCGAUGAUACAUAGCCGACCUGAGAGGGUGAUCGGCCACAUUGGGACUGAGACACGGCCCAAACUCCUACGGGAGGCAGCAGUAGGGAAUCUUCGGCAAUGGACGAAAGUCUGACCGAGCAACGCCGCGUGAGUGAAGAAGGUUUUCGGAUCGUAAAACUCUGUUGGUAGAGAAGAACGUUGGUGAGAGUGGAAAGCUCAUCAAGUGACGGUAACUACCCAGAAAGGGACGGCUAACUACGUG
rnacentral:rRNA from 1 species